rnacentral:rRNA from 2 species
AACGUAAGGGGCGAACGUUGCUCGGAAUUACUGGGCGUAAAGGGCCGGUAGGUGGCUUUAUAAGUCAGUUGUCAAAUACCCAUGCUCAACGUGGGAGAGGCGACUGAUACUGUAGAGCUUGAGUAGAGGAGGGGAUGACGGAAUACCCGGUGUAGGGGUGAAAUCUGUUGAUAUCGGGUAGAACACCGAUGGCGAAAGCGGUCAUCUAGCCUCAUACUGACACUCAACGGCGAAAGCCAGGGGAGCGAACGGGAUUAGAUACCCCGGUAGUCCUGGCCAUAAACGAUGCAUGCUAGGUAUUGGCACCGCGUUGGUGAUAGUACCGUAGCUUACGCGUUAAGCAUGCCGCCUGGGGAGUAUGCUCGCAAGAGUGAA